rnacentral:rRNA from 1 species
UACGUAGGGUGCGAGCGUUAAUCGGAAUUAUUGGGCGUAAAGAGCGUGUAGGCGGCUUUACAGGUCCGUUGUGAAAACUCGAGGCUCAACCUCGAGACGCCGGUGGAAACCGUAAAGCUAGAGUCCGGAAGAGGAGAGUGGAAUUCCUGGUGUAGCGGUGAAAUGCGCAGAUAUCAGGAGGAACACCCGUGGCGAAAGCGGCUCUCUGGGACGGUACUGACGCUGAGACGCGAAAGCGUGGGGAGCAAACGGG